rnacentral:lncRNA from 1 species
GUGUGACUUUGGGCAAGGCACUGUACCUCUCUGGACCUCAGCACUGGGAUGCUCACCAUAAGAAAAAUAAUGCUAAGAAAGAAGCAAGGAAACAUUCGUACAAUGCUCAUGGCACGCUGAGUAUUUGCCAGCACUCAUGGGCGCCUAGGGACCACCUUGAGCAGGACUCAGGAUGAUGCUCAUUUUACAGUGGAAACUCCCCAGGAGUUUGGAUGCUUCAUCUCUGCUGAGACCCAGUGCCUGGCACUGAAGGUGCUCAGGAAAUACCUUCUGAAUGAUCGGAAGCCCCUGCCAUCUGCUAAACUGGAUCUAUGAUGACAGAAGCCGAGGAAUGUGAGGUUCAUCUAGAGAGUUCUUGUGAAUUUUCCAAGGGAGGCACCUGUUGAAUUCAGGCAUCGGCAUGUGACUUGAUUUGGUCAAUGAAAUGUGAGAGAAGUGACAUCCACUUUGAGGCAGGCACUUUCCGAGUUGCCCCGACGGCCACUCUCCAUACUGCUGCCAGAAGAACCUUGAAAUAUCGCUCUUUUUAAUUAAAAAGCAAAACUCUUCAA